AAUUUUGGACAAUGGGCGCAAGCCUGAUCCAGCAAUGCCGCGUGCAGGAUGAAGGNCUNNGGGUUNUNAACUGCUUUUGUACGNNNNNAAAAGCCAUGGNUUAAUACCCUGGGGUCAUGACGGUACCGUAAGAAUAAGCACCGGCGAACUACGUGCCAGCAGCCCCGGGAAUACGUAGGGUGCGAGCGUUAAUCGGAAUUACUGGGCGUAAAGCGUGCGCAGGCGAUUUUGUAAGACAGAGGUGAAAUCCCCGGGCUCAACCUGGGAACUGCCUUUGUGACUGCAAGGCUAGAGUACGGCAGAGGGGGAUGGAAUUCCGCGUGUAGCAGUGAAAUGCGUAGAUAUGCGGAGGAACACCGAUGGCGAAGGCAAUCCCCUGGGCCUGUACUGACGCUCAUGCACGAAAGCGUGGGGAGCAAACAGG
rnacentral:rRNA from 1 species